rnacentral:rRNA from 1 species
AUUGAACGCUAGCGGGAUGCUUUACACAUGUAAGUCGAACGAGUGGCGGACGGGUGAGUAAUGUAUGGGGACUGCCCGAUAGAGGGGGAUAACUACUGGAAACGGUAGCUAAUACCGCAUACUAUCGGAUCACCCAUAUGGGAUUAGCUAGUAGGUAGGGUAAUUGGUCGCCUAGGCGACGAUCCCUAGCUGGUCUGAGAGGAUGAUAAGCCACACUGGGACGACGACAGGGCCCAGACUCCUACGGAGGCAGCAGUGGGGAAUAUUGCACAAAGGGCGCAAGCCUGAUGCAGCCAUGCCGCGUGUAUGAAGAAGGCCUUAGGGUUGUAAAGUACUUUCAGGCGGGAGGCGUUACCGACAGAAGAAGCACCGGCUAACUCCGUGCCAGCCGCCGCGGUAAUUC